UGUCUUUUUGAAAAUAAUAUAAAGUCUAAUCUGCCCACUGAUUAUAUAUUAAAGGGCUGCAGUAUUUUGACUGUACAAAGGUAGCAUAAUCAUUAGUCAUUUAAUUGAUGACUUGUAUGAAAGAUUGGAUGAAAUAUAAACUGUCUCUUAAUUAAAUAUAAAAUUUAAUUUUUUAAUUAAAAAGUUAAAAUAAAUUAAAAAGACGAGAAGACCCUAUAGAGUUUUAUAAUUAAUUUAAUUAAAAUUAUUUAAAUAAAAAAAAUUAAAAUUAAAUUAUUUAUUUUGUUGGGGUGACAAAAAAAUAUAUUUAACUUUUUUUAAAUUAAUACAUUUAUAAGUGGUUAAAUGAUCCAAUAUUAUUGAUUAUAAGAAAAAAUUACCUUAGGGAUAACAGCGUAAUUUUUUUUUUUAGUUCAAAUAAGAAAAAGAGUUUGCGACCUCGAUGUUGGAUUAAGAUAAAAUUUAAAUGCAGAAG
rnacentral:rRNA from 1 species